rnacentral:lncRNA from 1 species
GAGAAUUAGAUUCCAGAUUCCGGAUUCCUAUUGAAGUUAUUUAAUAAUCAUAUGGAUUGAGGGAAGGGAGUUAGAUUCCGGAUUCCUAUUGAAGUUGUUUACUAAACUAUGUGGAAUUGGGAAUUUGGAAUUUUAAAAAUUGUGUGAGGAUAUAAUGGGUAAAAAAGAUGAAUUCCUAAUAGGUUAGGUCUCUAAGAAUUAGAAUACCACAUCCCACCUAAAAAUUGAAUUCCUCCAAAAUCAG